rnacentral:rRNA from 1 species
AGUGAACGCUGGCGGUAGGCCUAACACAUGCAAGUCGAACGGCAGCACAGUAAGAGCUUGCUCUUACGGGUGGCGAGUGGCGGACGGGUGAGGAAUACAUCGGAAUCUACUUUUUCGUGGGGGAUAACGUAGGGAAACUUACGCUAAUACCGUAUAAGACCUACGGGUGAAAGCAGGGGAUCUUCGGACCUUGCGCGAUUGAAUGAGCAGAUGUCGGAUUAGCUAGUUGGCGGGGUAAAGGCCCACCCAGGCGACGAUCCGUAGCUGGUCUGAGAGGAUGAUCAGCCACACUGGAACUGAGACACGGUCCAGACUCCUACGGGAGGCAGCAGUGGGGAAUAUUGGACAAUGGGCGCAAGCCUGAUCCAGCCAUACCGCGUGGGUGAAGAAGGCCUUCGGGUUGUAAAGCCCUUUUGUUGGGAAAGAAAAGCAGCAGGUUAAUACCCCGCUGUUCUGACGGUACCCAAAGAAUAAGCACCGGCUAACUUCGUG